GCCCGAGUAGCUCAGACGGCAGAGCAUUCGACUCGUAAUCGAAAGGUCAGGGGUUCGAUUCCCCUCUCGGGCUCCC
rnacentral:tRNA from 1 species